AUACGGAGGAUCCGAGCGUUAUCCGGAUUUAUUGGGUUUAAAGGGUGCGCAGGCGGCCAUUUAAGUCAGCGGUUAAAUCGUGGGGCUCAACCCCAUUCUGCCGUUGAUACUGGGUGGCUUGAUUGCGGUCGAGGUUGGCGGAAUUCGUUGUGUAGCGGUGAAAUGCAUAGAUAUGACGAAGAACACCGAUUGCGUAGGCAGCUGACCAGACCGCAAAUGACGCUCAUGCACGAAAGUGCGGGGAUCGAACAGGAUUAGAUACCCUGGUAGUCCGCACAGUAAACGAUGAAUACUUGUUUUCGGCGAUAUAAUGUCGGAGGCAAAGCGAAAGCGAUAAGCUCCCCACCGGGGGAGUACGGUCGCAAGGCUGAAACUCAAAGGAAUUGGCGGGG
rnacentral:rRNA from 1 species